AUGCUGUGUUGUUAGUGGGAGAUCACGUGGAUUGGCUGCUUGGGCAUGGGGGCCACUUCCUACAUUAUUUCUGCUCAGAGGAGAAGAGCGAGCGGUCUUAGUUUGAACAAAAUGGCUGCAAGAACGCUGUCAACGAGAGCUCACUGAACGCAUUAUGACUGUCCACUCCUACAUUUGGAUUUUUCGAGAAUGUAUUUUCUUGGAUUCGUUUUUCAAUUUGCAUUCGUAGUAGCAAGGUCGUCGGUCAGAUGUUGUUGCUAACCUGCUAGCUCCUCAGCUAGCGGCCUAAACACAAAUAAUUUCAUUUUGCACUUUAACCCAAGUUUCCUAGCUAGCUAGCCAUUGUCGUCGACAAUUUACUGAAAUCUGCCUAUUUUCUUUCAUUUGCAAAUUACUCCUUACAACAGUCGAUGACUAAUGCCAACUAGCUAACGUUAACGUUAACUCCGCUACUUUUUGAGUCGGAAUUGUUUCUCUUGCUUUUUCGUUUUGCUGUUUUUUUUCUAUAUCGUGAUACUUACGUUUAGCAUGUUUUUUUGUUGCGACAAUUUUACUUUUAGUGCAUCGUUGCGCUAAAAUACAAAUUUCUUACUGUGUGUAUUUCAAGUAUCGAUCUCGGUAUUUUUGUUAUUAAGCUGCUCAAACAGUUAUCCUGUCAGUCAGUAAGCCCCUGCAGCAAGAGAGCUGCACUUGGCUAAUGCUAGCUAGCUGGAUAACUGCGAAGACUGAAUUCCUGAUUUGUAAUUUACGGGUAUUUUUCGGAAAAGGCACAGCAGAAUGCUUUUCUGCAUCGUUCUCUUUCAUGCACAAACUCUGUAUUGAAAGCUGCCAAAGCUCAACGUGUGAUUACGCAAGCUGAGAGAAGCGAACAACACGAGAAGAGAACCAUUUGAUGGAAGAAAAUAAAAAGCAAGAAAAGACCAAGAAGGAAGCUGCUCAGAAACAGGCUGCUGACACGAAAACCAAAGGAGACCGCCCUGCUACCAUGGCAACCCAACAAUUUGCCACGGCGACUGACAUAUUUACAAGGUGUCACUGCGGUGACAGGAGAACUGCAUUAUUUCCACCCGGGAAACCGGACGACAUCACAUCGUAAUAUGCAUAUUGGAUUAAUUUGCAAUUUCACAUUCAAUUAAUUGUCAACACUUUUUAGUCGGAUUUCUUAAAUCGCAAUCUAAUUGGGGGAUAAUUGACUUUG
rnacentral:lncRNA from 1 species